CAUCUUUAAUUCUUGGACCUUUCUCAAGUAAGAUACAUGAUAAUUUCUAUGAGUUUUUGAAAUUAAUUAGCAUAUUUUAGAUUUUUAAGUUCGAUUUGAAAUUUUUAAAAUUCUGCUUUAACAUUUUUCCUAGGUGAGUAUCUUUAAUUCUUGGACCAUUCUCAAAUAAGCAAUAUGGUAAUUUCUAUUAAUUUUUUAAGUUAAUGAGCUUAUGUAGAUUUGAACCAGAACCGAAACUGAACUAGACCGGGUCCCAAUCAUGACUGGAACCAUUUCAGAACCAGACAGGAAUCGGCCUGGAACCAUGAAUGAAUGGGAACUGGUUCAAACCGGCUACUCAAGGGUGGUUCUGGUUCAACCUAGCCAAGGGCCAGGAACCAAACUGACCCUUGGCUAAGUCUAUCUCACCCCCUUGAACUUUGAACUGGGCCAGAACCAAUUGUCCGAACUGGUUGAAACUGCUUUUUUAUUUAUAAAAUAAAAAAAAAAGAAGAAAAAAAACUUUUGGGCAAGGAAGAGUUAGACUGAAAUUGCAGAUUUUUUUUUUCUUAUCCCACCAUUCUAGGAUAAGCAAACGAUUCUAGCUAAGAUCAUUUAGCAUGCUUGUGAAAUACUUCACACAAUACCUCUUAUAAUCAAAUUAAUCGGGCAUGGAAAUUUAGUUUCUUGCUUAAUUUUGCUUCAAUAAUACAAUACUCUCAACUCAAAAAAGGAAAAAAAUUUCCACUUAGGUAUUCACACAUGGCAAAUCUGACCUAAUUAUCCCACCAAUUAGAAGGCACAAAAUAAUCCCAUCAAAUAGACAAACAUAAUUUCCCAAAUUAGGAAAAAUACCAUAAACUGCAAGAUAAUAAUUUCAAUUUCUCUCGUUUCUUCAUUUUCUAUAGAACCAAACAGCAAAUAAUUUUGAAGCAGUAAAUGUAAAUACCCUAAACAAGAGAGAAAGAGUGGCUAACCAUAACCGGCGCAGUGAACCGUG
rnacentral:misc_RNA from 1 species